UCAGCAGCAGUGCCCAUCAUAGAGUAUACUUUGCCACGACACAAGCUCUGAGGAGAGACAAGCCCCCACCACAAGAAACAGCAACUGUGUCCAGGAGUAUGUAAGGGCCCAGCUCUGGUGUGAUCACGUGACUGAGUUCUGGCCAAUGGAGUGGGAGCAGAAAACAAUUCAUGCUACUUUCAGCCAUAAGAACUUCCUUUAGAACCUUCAUUUCUCCUCUUCAAGCUGACCUUGGGAGCGAAGUGUUGAAGAUGGCAGAGCCUCUAUCAUUCUAGAUCUUUGAAGGACUCCAUGGAGCACACUCCUAUUUCCUUCAACCCCCUCUUCUAUCACAUUGUGAUGGGGUAUUACAGGAGUGGGAAAUAAGUCUCUCUUCUGGUGUACAGUGGAAUUGUCUACAGGCUGGAUAACAUGUGAUGUCACAACAGAUUUAAUGAAGAAACAAAUAUAAAAAUCAAGUUCUUUCCAAAUUGAGCCAGACCUUAAAGACAAGUUGUGAAAUCCGUGAAAAUACAAAUCAAUGUUACUUUUUUCACUAUUUUUUGUUCUGGAAAAUAUAGUUGUCUUUCAUAAUAAUGUUAUUUGUGUUAACAUGCUCUUUUAAAGUAAAUGAACAAAUAUUUAUUUUAAAAACCUCUCAGUUGUAAAUCCUAAUAUGGUAAAUAUAAAUAUAAAC
rnacentral:lncRNA from 1 species